rnacentral:rRNA from 1 species
AUUGAACGCUGGCGGCAGGCCUAACACAUGCAAGUCGAGCGAGAGGGGGACGGGUGAGUAAUGUCUGGGAAACUGCCUGAGGGGGGGGGAGAACUACUGGAAACGCUGGAUAAUACCGCAUACCAUCAGAUGUGCCCAGAUGGGAUUAGAGAGUAGGGGGGGUAAUGGCUCACCUAGGCAACGAUCCCUAGCUGGUCUGAGAGGAUGACCAGCCACACUGGAACUGAGACACGGUCCAGACUCCUACGGGAGGCAGCAGUGGGGAAUAUUGCACAAUGGGCGCAAGCCUGAUGCAGCCAUGCCGCGUGUAUGAAGAAGGCCUUCGGGUUGUAAAGUACUUUCAGCGAGGAGGCGUUACUCGCAGAAGAAGCACCGGCUAACUCCGUGCCAGCAGCCGCGGUAAUAC